rnacentral:rRNA from 1 species
UACAGAGGGUGCUAGCGUUGUUCGGAAUCAUUGGGCGUAAAGGGCGUGUAGGCGGUUUGUUAAGUCAUGUGUGAAAUCCCUCGGCUCAACCGGGGAACGACGCAUGAAACUGGCAAGCUAGAGUACCAAAGAGGGGGGUGGAAUUCCCGGUGUAGCGGUGAAAUGCGUAGAGAUGUGGAGGAACACCGAUGGCGAAGGCAGCCUCCUGGGCCAAUACUGACGCUCAUGCACGAAAGCGUGGGGAGCAAACAGG